rnacentral:rRNA from 1 species
AACGAACGCUGGCGGCAGGCCUAACACAUGCAAGUCGAACGCUCGUACCAAUACGGGAGUGGCAGACGGGUGAGUAACGCGUGGGAAUCUACCCAAUGGUACGGAAUAACUCAGGGAAACUUGAGCUAAUACCGUAUGUGCCCGAAAGGGGAAAGAUUUAUCGCCAUUGGAUGAGCCCGCGUCGGAUUAGCUAGUUGGUGGGGUAACGGCCCACCAAGGCGACGAUCCGUAGCUGGUCUGAGAGGAUGAUCAGCCACACUGGGACUGAGACACGGCCCAGACUCCUACGGGAGGCAGCAGUGGGGAAUAUUGGACAAUGGGCGCAAGCCUGAUCCAGCCAUGCCGCGUGAGUGAUGAAGGCCCUAGGGUUGUAAAGCUCUUUCGGCGGGGACGAUAAUGACGGUACCCGCAGAAGAAGCCCCGGCUAACUUCGUGCCAGCCGCCGCAGUAACAC